AACCUGGGAACUGCAUCUGAUACUGGCAAGCUUGAGUCUCGUAGAGGGGGGUAGAAUUCCAGGUGUAGCGGUGAAAUGCGUAGAGAUCUGGAGGAAUACCGGUGGCGAAGGCGGCCCCCUGGACGAAGACUGACGCUCAGGUGCGAAAGCGUGGGGAGCAAACAGGAUUAGAUACCCUGGUAGUCCACGCCGUAAACGAUGUCGACUUGGAGGUUGUGCCCUUGAGGCGUGGCUUCCGGAGCUAACGCGUUAAGUCGACCGCCUGGGGAGUACGGCCGCAAGGUUAAAACUCAAAUGAAUUGACGGGGGCCCGCACAAGCGGUGGAGCAUGUGGUUUAAUUCGAUGCAACGCGAAGAACC
rnacentral:rRNA from 1 species